UAUCUUGUUAUCUACUAAUGUGUUUUGUGAGAAAUGUUUCAACGGUAACGUUAUGGAUGAUGAACUAAUGGACAAGCAAAACAUUACAAGCAUGAGUAGAAACAAAGGUCUUGACUUAAAUGAUGAAGUGCUUCACAAAGAUAUUAUUCCUUUGCCUCAUCAAAAGUGGUAACAUUUUAAGGAAACACUUAUGUAGGAAUAUGCCAAACAUGGCAUAGAUUUUAUACAUGCACACCAUGUGUUUGAUAAAAAGUUGCUGUGGAUUCUCAUCAACAUUGGAAGCUAUGGUGCAAAAAGGCAGUCUAGAAAGUUGAUUUAUUUUAGGGUUAUUGAACAUUGAGGUGAGAUUUUGUUGUUUUUGUUUGUUAAAUUUUGUAUUUUUUGACCUUUCGUAUUUAUUUUGUUAAUUUGUGUAUCAGGUAUGUUGGGUUUGAGAGCUUUGAUAGUGCUUCAUGUGACAUUCUAUGUUUUGUGAAUUUAACCGAUGCUUUGACAUUGUUAACUCUUACCAGUGUUUCCAUCUUGCUUUUUCUCUUCUAUAUUUUUUCUGUAGAGUGACAAGCAAGGAGAAGUUGACUUCAGAGGCUGAGUAUGUGAACCCUGAUACACUAUGGGACCGUCUCAAUGAUGCUGUUAACAUAAUUAUACGGAGGGAUGAGACAACUGAAACUGGUGACCUUUGCCCCCAUGUGAAGCUGCACUUAAUCUUGGCUGCUAACCUGUUUGAACUUCGGACAUACCUUGGUCCAAGACCUCAACAACCUCCAUAUGCUCCUCUUGCACCGAAUCCUGCAUCAGAUUCUAACCAGCAUGCUCACCAAAAUAGUAGGCUGAAUGGUUUCUUACUAUCUUAUUUUUUUAGUGUGGUAUGUGAGUGGAUAAACUGAUAAUUUACUUUCUGAAUUUGUUUAUAAAAACCAAGUUUUUGACCCUUGAAUGUUUGAUUUAUUUGUCACCGGUUGGGUUAAAAUCAAGUUUCUUUGCAUUGCUUGAGUAGAUUUAUUUGUCACCAUGUUGACAGAACGGGCUAAAAGUAAGGAAAACUCAGUUGUGUGUUCCCCUUCCAGGGAAGCUUACAAGAAGCUACUUGCAGAAUCCUUAAACAUGCAUAUUGAUGCAAGUUAUUGUCCUGGCUAUAAAACUACCACUACCAGAGUCUAAUGAACAACUUUAUGAGGUGUAUAAAGAUGCUACUACUUUAGAGAAUAUUGCACACACUAAUCAACUGAGGUUAUUAUUUCUUCAUAUUCAUCGUACAUGAUUAAUAUUUUUGUGUCAUGUGAAUAUAGUUUCAACUUAACUGUUUCGUUCUUCAGUCUUAAAGAUACGAAGAUCAGUCUAAAACUCCGAACUUAAUACUUGAGUAUGUCAACAGUACAGAUUUUAAAGUUUUGUAUCCAACCUUGACUGAUUAUGACAUACGCUAUUACAUAUAUGAGCUUCUUAAUGUAAUGUGAUCCUUCAACCACUUGUGAUAUACAUGGACUGCUGUACUCUGUGUUCUUUCUAUAACAGAUAUAUUCUUCCUAACUUUAAAGUCAUUGAAGUAUUUUUGUUUUGGAUGAGGCCUGUAUGGAUUUUGUAUCUGAUUGGCAUGUAUAGGUUUUUACUUAUGCAGCAUUAAAAAAUUUACUUCAUAUCUGUGCAAAGAUGUAUUGGAGGGUGUCUGCUUCUUAAAAUCUAUUAAGUAAAUUAUUUUACCUUUUAUCAGGAACUAUCUGACUCCAAUGGUAUUGAUAUUCUAAUGGACAAAAAAUCCCUUGGUUAUGCAUAUAGGAGUCAAGAAGGAGAUGUCGAACGUACUCUAAAGACGGUAGAAACAGGAGUAGGUGUCAGCCACACUGCUAAAGAAUUAAAAGUCUGGACUAAACCCAACAGUGAAAAUAUCACCCAAUGUAUAGAUCUGUCUAAAAAUCAUAAAAAGCUGGAUGCAAAAAUCAACGGAUAUAUUCUUGUAAAUGCUAAUGGUGUGUAAUGAGACAAAAUAAAGGGAAGGGUCUGGAAACUAAUGAGUCAGCAAAUGAGGAGUGGAGGGUCUCACAAGAGGCAAAUGAAGGUCAUUCUGUUAAGCUUGAUGCGAAUUAUCACACUAAGGGAUUUUAUCACACAUGGAUAGUAUAUAUAGUGAACUAAGAGUUAUUUCUCAUUUUUAUGUGAUUGGUGAAGUUGUUAUUCUUCUCUCCCAAACUCUCUUUUCACAUCUCAAAUUCCUUUUGUAUUGCAACUAUGAUUCCUAUCAUAGCUUUAUUUCCUAUUCAAUUUUAGUAUCACUACA